rnacentral:rRNA from 1 species
GACGAACGCUGGCGGCGUGCUUAACACAUGCAAGUCGAACGGAAAGGCCCUGCUUUUGUGGGGUGCUCGAGUGGCGAACGGGUGAGUAACACGUGAGUAACCUGCCCUUGACUUUGGGAUAACUUCAGGAAACUGGGGCUAAUACCGGAUAGGAGCUCCUGCUGCAUGGUGGGGGUUGGAAAGUUUCGGCGGUUGGGGAUGGACUCGCGGCUUAUCAGCUUGUUGGUGGGGUAGUGGCUUACCAAGGCUUUGACGGGUAGCCGGCCUGAGAGGGUGACCGGACACAUUGGGACUGAGAUACGGCCCAGACUCCUACGGGAGGCAGCAGUGGGGAAUAGUGCACAAUGGGCGGAGGCCUGAUGCAGCAACGCCGCGUGCGGGAUGACGGCCUUCGGGUUGUAAACCGCUUUCGCCUGUGACGAAGCGUGAGUGACGGUAAUGGGUAAAGAAGCACCGGCUAACUACGUG